ensembl:lncRNA
GCCAUAGCAACAAGAAAAUGCUUUCACGGGGCUUGAGUGAAUACAGAAUGCCGUAAUUAACAUUUACAUAAUAGGCAGAUAGCUUUGUUGUAAACAACAAUAAUCAAACUAUCCUAUGACUAUGUAUGUAUUUCGAUAAAGUUUUAUUUUGACUGAUAAAUAAGCAUAUUAUUCCGUACUUACAAUGGCAGAGAUGCGUGUGCUUCCCAGUGGUAAAGUUUACCGGCAGAUGUUUGAUGCCCAGGUAACAGCAUUCAUAGUAUCUGAAGAAAAUGUUCAGUUGUCUCUGGCUCUCUAUGACUCGUGGAGGAAGCGCUUGGCGGAUGAGGACGGUAUGCUGCUGCUGUUUAAAGACAUUAAUCAUGAUUAAAAGUACUCUGUUUGAUAGGAACACACUUUAUUCUGGUGGAAAAAGAAGUGAGGACCAGGAUGAUAGUGAGGAGGUUUGGGGUCUUUCAGACACUGUUGGUGAAAACUGAAAGUCUCAGUGAUGCUG